GGGGCCAGGAACAACAGCAGGACAAACUGCCCCACCCUACAGCCCAGGAGGGGUGAGGAGUUCAGCCUUCCCAGCAGAAAGCCAGCUCAUCGACGGACUUGAUGCCUGGCCCUCUGCACCAGCGGGAGCCACGGGACCAUUGUGGAGCCUUGCUAUACCAGACAGCUCUCUCUGGCAGUGAUAAAGGCAGACAGCUGGCACGGGAGGGAGCCUAAAAUAACCCAGACAGCUGGGCAAGGGGGUGUCACGGGCCCAGGUUCUGGGCUGAAAAUCAAGACACCUGGAACCCUGUCCAGGCUC
rnacentral:lncRNA from 1 species